AUACGAACCGUCCAAACGUUAUUCGGAAUUACUGGGCUUAAAGGGUGCGUAGGCGGCCCAGGAAGUUGGGUGUGAAAGCCCUCGGCUCAACCGAGGAACUGCGCCCAAAACUGCCGGGCUCGAGGGAGAUAGAGGUGAGCGGAACUUAGGGUGGAGCGGUGAAAUGCGUUGAUAUCCUAAGGAACACCGGUGGCGAAAGCGGCUCACUGGGUCUCUUCUGACGCUGAGGCACGAAAGCUAGGGUAGCGAACGGGAUUAGAUACCCCGGUAGUCCUAGCCCUAAACGAUGAGCACUAGAUCGAAGGACACUCCAUAGUCUUUUGGUCGAAGCGAAAGUGUUAAGUGCUCCGCCUGGGGAGUAUGGUCGCAAGGCUGAA
rnacentral:rRNA from 1 species